UACGAAGGGUCCAAGCGUUAUCCGGAUUUAUUGGGUUUAAAGGGUGCGUAGGCGGCUUAUUAAGUCAGUGGUGAAAGCCUUCAGCUCAACUGAAGAACUGCCAUUGAUACUGAUGAGCUUGAAUAUACUUGAGGUUGGCGGAAUGUGUCAUGUAGCGGUGAAAUGCUUAGAUAUGACACAGAACACCGAUUGCGAAGGCAGCUAGCUAAAGUAUGAUUGACGCUGAUGCACGAAAGCGUGGGGAGCAAACAGG
rnacentral:rRNA from 1 species